rnacentral:lncRNA from 1 species
CUCAGAGACUGCCUAAUGUCAACUGGCCUAGUCAUUUUGUCUACUCUGUUGUUCAGUGCCUCUUCUGUGAUUGAUGCUUUCUAGUGUUCAUGAAUACAAGAGCCAAAAAUCUUCACAUAUUUUGCCCACUCCUAUAGGUUCACACACAUUCCUCUCCACCAAACAUUCUUGUCUGCAAUUUUUCAGUCCUCCUUCCAGGUCCCUGACCAGCUUUUCAGACGAUUCGCUUCCACCCAUGAGUAUAUAUAUGUUCCCAUUCCAAGCCACUGUGUCCUCCACAUGAAAUAGGGAACAGGUGCAUGACUCUGAGCUUUGUCCAUUGAUAUGAUUUUCCUUACCAGUUCCUCAAGUCCCCCCCACAUCCCAAGUGUCAUGAAACCACUGCCCAUUUUUAACUUGCCUCCACACCCUGUGCUGACUGGUACAUUAAACAUGCUCAGGUUUUUUCUCCUCCUUUAGCUGGUCACGUGGGACCCACAUACUGUCUGGGGCAUGAUCUGAAGGAGGGGUGCUGGUGCUGCAGUGGUGGGUGACAUGGGGAUCUGCACCACCUGCUCAUGCAGUUACCUUAGGACUUCUGGUCUUGUUUAGGCUUGACCCCAGAUGCACAAUCUGAUCUCACGAUGGACUUCUGCUGGACAUACCUGACUUGAUGACUCUGUGGGUCUGACGGAACCUGGCUCAUAAUGGACACUUCCAGAUACAUUGUUACUUGAUAUCCUAUAGUCAAGAAUUCUGUCUCUAUGGGGCCCCAGUAACACAUUAGGCACUCUGUUUUAAUAGGUGUAUAAGUCUCUGUUACAGAUGGCAUGAUCUUUCUUCACAACCCCAGACAUUGGUGCUAUGAUGCUCACCCACACACAUACAUACACACACUCUCUCUCUCACAC